rnacentral:rRNA from 1 species
UUAUCAAAAACAUCGCCUCUUGCUAACAAAGGAAGUACUAGAGGUCCCGCCUGCCCUGUGACCACAAAGUUUAACGGCCGCGGUAUCCUGACCGUGCGAAGGUAGCGUAAUCAUUUGUCUUUUAAAUAGAGACCUGUAUGAAUGGCAUAACGAGGGUUUAACUGUCUCCUUCCCCCAGUCAAUGAAAUUGAUCUGCCCGUGCAGAAGCGGACAUAAAUACAUAAGACGAGAAGACCCUAUGGAGCUUUAGACAAAAGAUCAAACAUGUAAAGAAACCAAAACAACCAAAAGGAACACGAAGGCCACAAAACCCAACGUAAACUGAUCUAAAUGUCUUCGGUUGGGGCGACCAUGGGGGAAAGAAAAGCCCCCACGAGGAACAGGGACAACCCCUAAACUAAGAGGGACACCUCUAAGCAACAGAAAAUCUGACCAAAAUGACCCAGGAUACUAAUCCUGAUCAACGAACCAAGUUACCCUAGGGAUAACAGCGCAAUCCUUUCCCAGAGUCCAUAUCGACGAAAGGGUUUACGACCUCGAUGUUGGAUCAGGACAUCCUAAUGGUGCAGCCGCUAUUAAGGGUUCGUUUGUUCAACGAUUAAUAGUCCUACGUGAUCUGAGUUCA